UACAGAGGUCUCAAGCGUUGUUCGGAUUCAUUGGGCGUAAAGGGUGCGUAGGCGGCGCGGUAAGUCGGGUGUGAAAUCUCGGAGCUUAACUCCGAAACUGCAUUCGAUACUGCCGUGCUUGAGGACUGGAGAGGAGACUGGAAUUUACGGUGUAGCGGUGAAAUGCGUAGAUAUCGUAAGGAAGACCAGUGGCGAAAGGCGGGUCUCUGGACAGUUCCUGACGCUGAGGCACGAAGGUCAGGGGAGCAAACGGG
rnacentral:rRNA from 1 species